rnacentral:rRNA from 1 species
CCUACGGGGAGCAUCAGUAGGGAAUAUUGCUCAAUGGGGGAAACCCUGAAGCAGCAACGCCGCGUGGAGGAUGAAGGUUUUCGGAUUGUAAACUCCUUUUGUUAGAGAAGAUAAUGACGGUAUCUAACGAAUAAGCACCGGCUAACUCCGUGCCAGCAGCCGCGGUAAUACGGAAGGUGCAAGCGUUACUCGGAAUCACUGGGCGUAAAGGGCGCGUAGGCGGGAUAGCAAGUCAGAUGUGAAAUCCUAUGGCUUAACCAUAGAACUGCAUUUGACACUGUUAUUCUAGAGUAUGGGAGAGGUAGGUGGAAUUCUUGGUGUAGGGGUAAAAUCCGUAGAGAUCAAGAGGAAUACUCAUUGCGAAGGCGACCUGCGAGAACAUAACUGACGCUGAUGCGCGAAAGCGUGGGGAGCAAACAGGAUUAGAUACCCGUGUAGUC